rnacentral:lncRNA from 12 species
AUUCUAAAAUGGAUUAUUUUUAUUAGAAGUCCUGUCAGAGCUUCGAUAAAUGAAGGUCUUUUUCCCAACAUUGUGGUGGGAAAUUAGGAGGACAAAUUAGAGGAGCGCCGCCUGUGCCUGCUCACCGAGUUAAUUCUGUUCGAGAGCUGCCGUGAGAGCGGUAUUUACACAUUUCCCUCGCUCUGCCGGACCGGACAGACACCUGGGCAGGGGCACGGACACCUGGACACGGGCACAGACACCUGGACACGGGCAUGGACACCUGGACACGGGCAUGGACACCUGGGCAGGGGCACAGACACCUGGGCACGGGCACGGACACCUGGGCACGGGUAUGGACACCCCCCCCCCCCCCCCCCCCCCCCCCCCCCCCC